CCAAUAGCGUAUAUUAAAGUUGUUGCAGUUAAAAAGCUCGUAGUUGAAUUUCGGGGUUAAUAAGUUGGUCAUACCUAUGGUAUGUACUGGCUUCAUUGAUUCCUACCUCUUGACGAACUGUGAUGCCAUUAAUUUGGUGUUGCAAGGAAUCAGGACUGUUACCUUGAAAAAAUUAGAGUGUUUAAAGCAGGCUUACGCUUGAAUACAUUAGCAUGGAAUA
rnacentral:rRNA from 1 species